AUCCAGUCGACGGGUCCCGAAUAGGACGAAAUGUGCAUCCUGGAU
rfam:Trichobilharzia regenti genome assembly, scaffold: TRE_scaffold0053149